rnacentral:rRNA from 1 species
UACGGGGGGGGCAAGCGUUGUUCGGAAUUACUGGGCGUAAAGGGCUCGUAGGUGGCCAACUAAGUCAGACGUGAAAUCCCUCGGCUUAACCGGGGAACUGCGUCUGAUACUGGAUGGCUUGAGUUUGGGAGAGGGAUGCGGAAUUCCAGGUGUAGCGGUGAAAUGCGUAGAUAUCUGGAGGAACACCGGUGGCGAAAGCGGCUCUCUGGAACGGUACUGACGCUGAGACGCGAAAGCCAGGGGAGCAAACGGG